GCCCCCCGCCGCAGCAUCCCCCGGCCCCCCCUCCCCCUGCCCCCCCCGGGACCCCCGGCUUCGGGCAGCACCAAACCGGGCAGCCCCCGCCGCGGGGUCCGAGCUCUGCCGAUGCGCAACCGAUCCCAUCUGGUCCCGGGGGUCCCUUCGGUGCUUCCGGAUCCGUGGGUCGACGGAUUCUGUGGAUCCGGGGGGGUCUCCGGGGUCGCCCUCCAUUGCAAAAUCCCUCGGACGCUUCGCCCCACGCUGCGUAGGGAGAAACGUUUGCGACCUUUGGGUUUGGGGCCGGCGGAUUUGGGGUCGUCGCGGCUGCGUUUGGGGCUGACGGCCUCGGCUUUGGGGUCGGCGUAAGGAGGGGAGGGGGUGGGGAUGGGUUCGGACCCCCCCCGCGGGCGGUGGGCGCCGGUGAAGGGAGCCACGGAGCAGAAGGAGGAGAAGCCGUCGUUGGCGUCGAAGCAUUCGGGGCUGUGAGGCGUUUCGGGGCAAAUUUGGGGCGUUUCGGUGCAAACGUGGGGGUCCGGGGGGAGUUUGGGGGGCUCGGAACCAAACCGGGUGUUUUCGGCCCCAAACUGGACGUUCUCGGCCCCUAAUUGGACAUUUUCGGCCCCAAAUCGGGUGUUUUCGGACCCAAAUUGGGCGUUUUUGGACCCAAAUUGGGGAUUUCUGGACGCAAAUUGGCCGUUUUCAGCCCCAAAUUGGGCAUUUUCAACCCCAAAUCGGGCGUUUUCAGACCCAAACUGGGCAUUUUUGGACCCAAACUGGACGUUUUCGGAUCCAGAUCGGGCGUUUUCAGCCCCGAAUCGGGCGCUCUCUGACCCAAAUUCCACAUUUUCAGCCCCAAAUUUGGCAUUUUCAGACCCAAAGCGGACGUUCUCAGCACUGAAGCGAAGCGUUUCGGGAGUGAAUUUGGCGUUUUCGGCCCCAAAUCUGACGUGUUCAGCGCCAAACCGGAUGCCUUCCGUACCCACUUUGGUAUUUUCAGUACCGAGCUUUGCAUUUUCAGCGCCGAAUUUGGUAUUUUCGGCACCAAAUCGGCCACUUUCAGUCCCAAACUUCAUAUUUUCAGCGCCGAAACGGAGAUUUUCUGCAGCGAUUUUGGUAUUUUCAGUGCUGAAUUUGGCAUUUUCAGCACCAAACCGGAGAUCCUCGGUACUGCGUCUCGUAUUUUCAGUCCCAAUUCUGGUAUUUUCAGCCCAAAUUCUGGCAUUUUCAGCGCCGAGCAGCAGAUUUUCAGUUCCACCUUUGAACUCGGUGCCAAAUCUGACGUUUUCUGCCCCGAUUCUGAGGCCUUCGGUGUCCAACCUGCAACUUUCAGUCCUGAUUCUGGGAUUUUCUGCACCGGUUCUGACAUUUUCACUCCCAAUUCUGCCAUUUUCAGUCCCAGCUCUGUAAUUUUCAGACUCAAAUCUACUACAUUCCGUCUCAAUUCCGCUAUUUUCAGACCCAACUCUGCUAUUUUCAUUCCCAAAUCCGCCGUUUUCAGACCCAAUUCCACUUCCGGUCCCAAAUCCGCCAUUUUCACACCCAAAUCCAAAUCUUCCGGCACCGAAUCCCCCCCUCACCGCCCCAAUUUUGGCAUUUUCAGCACCAAAUCUGCCGCUUUCCGCCCCGAUUUGGGCACUCUCAGUUCCCACUUUCACACAUCCUGUGCAAAAAUCGCCAUUUUCAGCCCCAAUUUUAGCGUAUUCCGUACCAUUCCUGGCCAUUUCGGCUCCAAAAUCAGCAUUUUUUGUACCGUUUCUGCUAUUUUCAGUCCCACCUGUGCUAUUUUCAGUCCCAAAAUCAGCGUUUUCUGUACCGUUUCCAGCAUUUUCACCACAAUUUUGGACGUUUCCAAAACCGUUCUCAGCAUUUCCAGCGACGUCUGCACCGUUUUCCAGGCAAUUUUCCCCAUUUUUGGGUCCGUUUCCCCCAUUUUUGGGGCCGUUUCCCCCAUUUUUGGGGCCGUCCUUUCCAUUUUCAGACUCAUUCCCUCUAUUUUCAAAGCUCUUCUCCCCAUUUUUGGGGCCGUUUCCCCCGUUUUCAGCUCCGUUCUUUCCGUUUUUGGGGCCACUUCCCUCAUAUUCGGGUCCGUUCUCUCCACUUCUGGGGCCACAUCUCCAAUUUUCAGCCCCGUGCCCCCAAUUUUCAGCCCCGUGCCCCCAAUUUUCAGCCCCGUGCCCCCAAUUUUCAGCCCCGUGCCCCCAAUUUUCAGCCCCGUGCCCCCAAUUUUCAGCCCCGUGCCCCCAAUUUUCAGCCCCGUGCCCCCGGGCGAAACGUUGGGCAAAAGCGGCCUCGGACCCCCAGAUGUGGGGCUGAGACCCCACAAAAGCACGGAAACGACGGGCCAGGAGACGAGCAGCAGCCCUGGCCUGAGCCUCACAGAACUCACGCCAAGCUGGGGGCUCCGGGGGGGGAGACCCCAAACCUUCCCCUCCUCCUCCCCCUCCUCCUCCUCCUCUUCCUCCUUUCUCUCCCCCUCCUCCUCUUCCUUCCCCUCCUCUUCCUCCUCCUCCUCCUCCUCCUCCGGACCCCCCCCCCGCCCCGCUUCUUUCGCUGGGGGGGGGGGGCGCGCG
ensembl:lncRNA